rnacentral:rRNA from 1 species
AUUGAACGCUGGCGGCAGGCUUAACACAUGCAAGUCGAGCGAGCGGCGGACGGGUGAGUAAUGUCUGGGCAACUGCCUGAUGGAGGGGGAUCACUACUGGAAACGGUAGCUAAUACCGCAUACCAUCAGAUGUGCCCAGAUGGGAUGAGCUAGUAGGGGGGGUAAUGGCUCACCUGGGCGACGAUCCCUAGCUGGUCUGAGAGGAGGACCGCCCAAACUGGAACUGGGACCGGGUCAAGACCCCUACGGGAGGAAGCAGGGGGGAAUAUUGCACAAUGGGGGAAAGCCGGAUGCAGCCCGGCCGCGUGUGUGAAGAAGGCCUUCGGGUUGUAAAGUACUUUCAGCGAGUAGGCGGUACUCGCAGAAGAAGCACCGGCUAACUCCGUGCCAGCAGCCGCGGUAAUAC